rnacentral:rRNA from 1 species
AUUGAACGCUGGCGGCAGGCCUAACACAUGCAAGUCGAACGAGUGGCGGACGGGUGAGUAAUGUCUGGGAAACUGCCUGAUGGAGGGGGAUAACUACUGGAAACGGUAGCUAAUACCGCAUACCAUCAGAUGUGCCCAGAUGGGAUUAGCUGGUUGGUGGGGUAACGGCUCACCACGGCGACGAUCCCUAGCUGGUCUGAGAUGUUGACCGUCCACACUGGAGCGUGGGCACGUGCCUGACUCCUACAGGAGGAAGCAGUGGGGAAUAUUGCACAAUGGGGGCAAGCCUGUGGCGGUCAUGCCGCAUGUAUGAAGAAGGCCUUCGGGUUUGAAAGUGCGUUCAGCGGAGAGGCGUUACCCGCAGGAGGAGCACCGACUAACUCCGUGACGGCAGCCGCGGUAAUUC